rnacentral:rRNA from 1 species
GACGAACGCUGGCGGCGUGCUUAACACAUGCAAGUCGAACGGUGACCCAUCUUCGGAUGGUGAUCAGUGGCGAACGGGUGAGUGACACGUGGGCCACCUCCCCCUAGCUCUGGGAUAACUCCUCGACAGAGGUGCUAAUACCGGCUAUCACCUCCCUGCACAUCCAGGGUGGUUGAAUGUUGUUCGGCUAGGGAUGGGACCGCGGCCUAUCAGCUUGUUGGUGGGGUAAUGGCCUACCAAGGCGACGAGGGGUAGCCGGCCGGAGAGGGCGACCGGCCACACUGGGACUGAGACACGGCCCAGACUCCUACGGGAGGCAGCAGUGGGGAAUAUUGCGCAAUGGGCGAAAGCCAGACGCAGCAACGCCGCGUGAGGGAUGACGGCCUUCGGGUUGUAAACCUCUUUCAGCAGGGACGAAGCGAAAGUGACUGUACCUGCAGAAGAAGCGCCGGCUAACUACGUGCCAGCAGCCGCAGUAAAAC